ACCUUUCUCGACGAACGGUUUGGCCUUGUGGGUAGUGACCCUGCCUACGAAGCUGAUGGUCCCGGGUUCAAAUCCUGGUAAGAGCAUGUAUUCGUGUGAUGAGCAUGGAUAUUUUGUUCCUGAGUCAUGGGUGUUUUCUAUGUAUUUAAGUAUUUAUAAAUAUUUAUAUAUUAUAUAUAUCGUUGUCUUAGUACCCCUUAACACAAGCCUUAUUGAACUUACUGUGGGACUUAGUCAAUUUGUGUAAUAAUGUCCUAUAAUAUUUAUUUAUUUAUUUAUUUAUUCUCACAAGUGCAAACACGAAUAUGAUACGAUAUUCCAUUUCGGAAUGCCAGCAGUGCCUAUCAUUCGGCUUCAUCAUCAGACUUUGAGACCUAAUCGUGGUCAAAGUUAAUUACAUUACAAGUCCUAAUACAGCUAUGAUCAGCGAUUGAUAAUAAACAUGAUACGAUGUUCCAUCAUGAAGUUCCAGUUUAUAUCUUCCGGCUCCAUCAUCAGAUCAGUUCUACAAUACCAUAUUAUUUUAUUGUCAUCAGAACUACAUACAGCUGCCAAUUUUUAUGACGCUACGAUCCUUGAAAGAUGAUAAAAUUAGUUACCUUAGAUUCCAUUACAUACUCGUAGUUACAUACAGGUCGACCUAAUAAAAGCGUGUUAAAAAUUUUAACUUCUUAAUUAAUGAUUAGGUACGCGGAUAAAUUCUAUAUCUGGUUUAAUUUAUCGCCCGCAUUGUAUUUACACACUGUAUGAUCAUAGCCAAUUAAUAAGCGCGUAUUUUUUGUAAAUAUAAUAUACCAUAUAAGCCUAAGAUUAUCGAGUAUCGACGGCAGUUUUACUUCGGCAUCGGAUUGAAGUGUAGCAUCGCUCGAGAUGGCACGGAUCUGGCUUGUUGCAUGUUUGGUGCUGGUGGCGUAUCUUCAAGUGACAUCUUGUGAUGGCGGUAAAUGUGUACAGCACUCCGAAUGUCCAGAGAAAAUGGCGUGCGACAGCGAAAGCUCCCAGUGUGUGGAUCCGUGCCUCACACAUCGAAAAUGUGUAACGGCGGCUACUUGUAUUGUCGAUGAUGAGCAUUUGGCCACAUGCCAAUGCGAUCCAGGAACUAUAGGUAACCCCUACGAGAGCUGCAGCUCCUCCACAUAUGAUUUAAUCUUGGCUAGCAAGUUAGGUUAAUAUACUUGUUUGUGUUUACACAAUGUCACGGAUGAGACGCCAUAGAGUAUAUUGAACAAUAGGGUAUAUUAUAUACUGGGUGAAUUUGGGUCGUGAUGCCGAAUGUCAAAAGUGUAUUAAGAGACUGAACAAGUUUUCCCAUGGUACCGACAUGAAAAUCGUGAAAAAUAUAUACUUACCAACCCGUGCAUGAAUAGCAUGGUCGCGUUUUAAUCGUCAGCCACUUUAUAUCUACUAUACAAUUGUUAUAACGUGACAGGCAUGGUGACAGACGAUAAAAAUCCGUACUGCAUUUCACCUACUUCGGGUCAUCAAGGUGUCCAUUAGUUUUUUUUCGUGAUUUUGUGGGUAGUCUCUUGGGGAAAUUUGUUUAGUAUGACCAUCUCAACACAUUUUUUACAUUCAGGAUCACUAUCCCAAAAUCACCCAGUAGAAUAGAGUUUUCAGUUGUAUCAGUCAAUUUUGCGCAACUCUCCAUCUACAUAUCAGGGCGACGGGCAGGACCGUAUUGUAAGUGUUCCGCAACCAAAUUGUUUAGUGCCCCUAUCAAGAUCAGAGUGUCCUUGGGCCGUCGGAAACAUGGUCAUCCCCCGUGAAGUAAGCGCUUAAGAGUUAAAAAAAUUGCAUUACAGCGCCUCCCCAUGUUCCUCUGAAACCCCCAGCACUUCCGCUUACUACUUUAUUCUAACUGAUAACACCGUGUCCGUGCCAGAUGUCAUCGUAGAGGACGAAGUAAUGGUGAAUUUAAAUGAAAAAACUCAGCAGAAAGAGACGGCAACAAAUGCGUGACGUUAAUCAAGGCCUAUUCUAUGUGUAACCUCCAAUGAUGUUAAAAGCUUCUUAAUGAGGCUUAUCGCAAGUACCAUGGAGUUCGGGGCGUCAUCGUCAGUAUUCUUACUUUAAAGUUUAUAUGGGUUAUUUAUAACAUCUGUCCUAUUUCGGGACACCUUCUGCUUGGAGAGACAAAGAAAAGUAUACGUUGUUUCUCUGUUCCUCUUAGCAGCAAGAUAACAGAACGUGUUCAGGGAAAGGAUAGAUCUAAUAACCCCUUACCGCAGACGCAACGAAGUUUGGUUCACUUUACCAUGAACUAUGGGGUAGUCCAAUCCAAUGCGACUACUCGAUUAUCGCAAGUUUGCGGGUAUUUGACUCGUGCAAACGCGCGAUAAAAAAUAUUGAACUCGAAUAGGUGUUUUGAUUGUCAAUUAGGACACCUGUUCAAGUUCAAUACAUUAUGUUUGCGAUGAUAGCGUAGUUGCGUUCUAUUAGGACGACCCUGGUUCAUGAUGGGUUUAUUGCAUCUCGCUUGCACCAAUUUAUUAAUAUGAGCAAAAUGUACUGCGAAUGAGUUUACGGGUCUAUUUAGGUAGCAACGGCUAGUCUAGCGUAAAUUACUGGUAAAGUCAUGGUAAGGAUACUUUUCUGCUUGUUCUGACAAAACUUUCAAUUCUACACAUUUUUUUUAUUUUUGUCUGUUUCGGUCGCCAUAUAUAUUUUGCCCCGAAUUCCGUCGCAUCUAAGAUGGACCUAUGAAAUUUUUGCAAAUCGUAGAAUAUUACUAAGAAUGUUAAUGUUGCUUUUCAUCUUGGUUACCUUUGAUGCGAUUUUGACGUCUUUUACCAAUUAAAAACAAAAAAAAAAGAUUUUUUACCUUAGUUUAUGAAUUAAUUUAAGAAUGUGUUGAAAUAAAUAUACCUAUAAUGUAAAAUAAACAAUUAUCUAAACCAUU